GGGCGCAGCAGGCGCGAAAACUUUACACUGUUGGCAACAGCGAUAAGGGGACCUCGAGUGCCAGGAUACAAUCUUGGCUGUCGUGAUGCCUAAAAAGCAUUACAUAGCAAGGGCCGGGCAAGACCGGUGCCAGCCGCCGCGGUAACACCGGCGGCUCGAGUGGUAACCGCUAUUAUUGGGUCUAAAGGGUCUGUAGCCGGCCGGAUAAGUCUUUUGGGAAAUCCAGCUGCUCAACAGUUGGGCUUUCAGAAGAUACUGUUCGGCUCGAGGCCGGGAGAGGUGAGAGGUACUUCAGGGGUAGGGGUGAAAUCUUGUAAUCCUUGAAGGACCACCAGUGGCGAAGGCGUCUCACCAGAACGGUCCUGACGGCAAGGGACGAAAGCUAGGGGCACGAACCGGAUUAGAUACCCGGGUAGUCCUAGCCGUAAACGAUACUCGCUAGGUGUCAGCCACGGUGCGACCGUGGUUGGUGCCGUAGGGAAGCCGUGAAGCGAGCCACCUGGGAAGUACGGCCGCAAGGCUGAAACUUAAAGGAAUUGGCGGGGGAGCAC
rnacentral:rRNA from 1 species